UACGAAGGGGGCUAGCGUUGCUCGGAAUCACUGGGCGUAAAGGGUGCGUAGGCGGGUCUUUAAGUCAGGGGUGAAAUCCUGGAGCUCAACUCCAGAACUGCCUUUGAUACUGAAGAUCUUGAGUUCGGGAGAGGUGAGUGGAACUGCGAGUGUAGAGGUGAAAUUCGUAGAUAUUCGCAAGAACACCAGUGGCGAAGGCGGCUCACUGGCCCGAUACUGACGCUGAAGCGCGAAAGCGUGGGGAGCAAACGGG
rnacentral:rRNA from 1 species